rnacentral:rRNA from 1 species
AGUGAACGCUGGCGGUAGGCCUAACACAUGCAAGUCGAACGGCAGCACAGUAAGAGCUUGCUCUUACGGGUGGCGAGUGGCGGACGGGUGAGGAAUACAUCGGAAUCUACUUUUUCGUGGGGGAUAACGUAGGGAAACUUACGCUAAUACCGCAUACGACCUACGGGUGAAAGCAGGGGAUCUUCGGACCUUGCGCGAUUGAAUGAGCCGAUGUCGGAUUAGCUAGUUGGUGGGGUAAAGGCCCACCAAGGCGACGAUCCGUAGCUGGUCUGAGAGGAUGAUCAGCCACACGGGAACUGAGACACGGUCCAGACUCCUACGGGAGGCAGCAGUAGGGAAUGUUAGGCAAUGGGCGAAAGCCUGAAGGAGCAAUGCCGCGUGAGUGAAGAAGGGCUUCGGAUCGUAAAACUCUUUUGUUAGGGAAGAAAAAAUGUGUAAGUAACUAUGCACGUCCUGACGGUACCUAAUUAGAAAGCACCGGCUAACUACGUG